UCAGACUCCUACGGGAGGCAGCAGUGGGGAAUAUUGCACAAUGGGGGGAACCCUGAUGCAGCGACGCCGCGUGGGUGAAGAAGUCAUUCGUGACGUAAAGCCCUAUCAGCAGGGAAGAAAAUGACGGUACCUGACUAAGAAGCCCCGGCUAACUACAUGCCAGCAGCCGCGGUAAUACGUAGGGGGCAAGCGUUAUCCGGAUUUACUGGGUGUAAAGGGAGCGUAGACGGCGGUGCAAGCCAGGAGUGAAAGCCCGGGGCCCAACCCCGGGACUGCUCUUGGAACUGCGUGGCUAGAGUGCGGGAGGGGCAGGCGGAAUUCCUGGUGUAGCGGUGAAAUGCGUAGAUAUCAGGAGGAACACCGGUGGCGAAGGCGGCCUGCUGGACUGCAACUGACGUUGAGGCCCGAAAGCGUGGGGAGCAAACAGGAUUAGAUACCCCAGUAUCC
rnacentral:rRNA from 1 species